AAAGCGCGCGUAGGUGGUUAAUUCAGUCAAAUGUGAAAUCCCCGAGCUUAACUUGGGAAUUGCAUUCGAUACUGGUUAGCUAGAGUAUGGGAGAGGAUGGUAGAAUUCCAGGUGUAGCGGUGAAAUGCGUAGAGAUCUGGAGGAAUACCGAUGGCGAAGGCAGCCAUCUGGCCUAAUACUGACACUGAGGUGCGAAAGCAUGGGGAGCAAACAGGAUUAGAUACCCUGGUAGUCCAUGCCGUAGACGAUGACUACUAGCCGUUGGGGGAUCUGAUCCUUUAGUGGCGCAGCUAACGCGAUAAGUAGACCGCCUGGGGAGUACGGUCGCAAGACUAAGACUCAAAUGAAUUGACGGGGGCCCGCACAAGCGGUGGAGCAUGUGGUGUAAUUCGAUGCAACGCGAAGAACCUUACCUGGCCUUGACAUAGUAGAGACUUUCCAGAGAUGGAAAGGUGCCUUCGGGAAUCUACAUACAGGUGCUGCAUGGCUGUCGUCAGCUCGUGUCGUGAGAUGUUGGGUUAAGUCCCGCAACGAGCGCAACCCUUUUCCUUACUUGCCAGCAUUUCGGAUGGGAACUUUAAGGAUACUGCCAGUGACAAACUGGAGGAAGGCGGGGACGACGUCAAGUCAUCAUGGCCCUUACGGCCAGGGCUACACACGUGCUACAAUGGUCGGUACAAAGGGUUGCUACCUCGCGAGAGGAUGCUAAUCUCAAAAAGCCGAUCGUAGUCCGGAUCGCAGUCUGCAACUCGACUGCGUGAAGUCGGAAUC
rnacentral:rRNA from 1 species